rnacentral:rRNA from 1 species
GACGAACGCUGGCGGCGUGCUUAACACAUGCAAGUCGAGCGGAAAGGCCCUGCUUUUGUGGGGUGCUCGAGUGGCGAACGGGUGAGUAACACGUGAGUAACCUGCCCUUGACUUUGGGAUAACUUCAGGAAACUGGGGCUAAUACCGGAUAGGAGCUCCUGCUGCAUGGUGGGGGUUGGAAAGUUUCGGCGGUUGGGGAUGGACUCGCGGCUUAUCAGCUUGUUGGUGGGGUAGUGGCUUACCAAGGCUUUGACGAGUAGCCGGCCUGAGAGGGUGACCGGCCACAUUGGGACUGAGAUACGGCCCAGACUCCUACGGGAGGCAGCAGUGGGGAAUAUUGCACAAUGGGCGGAAGCCUGAUGCAGCAACGCCGCGUGCGGGAUGACGGCCUUCGGGUUGUAAACCGCUUUCGCCUGUGACGAAGCGUGAGUGACGGUAAUGGGUAAAGAAGCACCGGCUAACUACGUG